ensembl:lncRNA
UGUAAAGCUCGAGCGGACACAGUGUGUGUGUGUGUGUGUGUGUGUGUGUGUGUGUGUGUGUGUAACAAGGACCAGCUCGUCGCUCGGUUUAACAAAAACACACCGGAGUGAGAGCUGUAAGAUUUAUUUGUAUUUUAUUUAUUUAUUUAAAAAAAGAAGAAAUCAGCUCAUACAUUGUGACGAUACAGCAGCCUGACUGAAGACCAAACAUGCGCGCGCGUGCCAACAUCAUCAACAUGACACCGAGAGUUACCUGAGAGGAAAAGGGCGGGAAGCGCGCGCUGGAUUGAAGGAAGGAAAAAGAAAGAAAGAAAAAAAAAACAAAACACCACCAACCGCCAAACCGUCGCGCUCUUUUCGCGCGCGCACAACAGCGAACUUAAACCAUGGGGUGAAGAGAAGAAAUGGAGCACUCUGAACGGAUGUUCGUCUGAGAAGAUGUGAAACCUGCUAUUGACUAUGUGCAUCUACGUCUACGUUGAAGAAAAUUUGCC